rnacentral:snRNA from 15 species
AUACUUACCUUGGCCAGCCUCCGGGAGAUCACGAAUUCCUAGAGGUAUAGCGAGCAGCCAUCAUUGCACAAAGAGGAGUUGCUUGUUAUCGUCUGCCCUUCGGGGUCGUCGUGGCCGGAAUUUUUGAUGUUUUCCAC